UGCCCGCUAAGGCUCUUCUGAGCAUUAGGACAACCCUGGGGGAUGCGCAAAGGGGCUGUGGGGAAUCCCGGCCACGAGUGGCUGAUCGGGAAGCUCAUUCCUCGCUUCAGCGGAGGGUACGGCUAGAUGUGCAUACUGUGCUGGGGAGAGAGGCGAAGGGUAUUUGAAGUCAGGUAACAGUGAGGGGCGAGCAGGAAUCAGGGCCGCCGGACCCCCAGACAGGGCCACUUGCCACUACUCUAUGCUGAACAUAGUCUGGUGGCUCAAAGGGGUCUUCCUGCACCCAUCCCUAAUCUUCCAGGCUCUGGAGCCUGGGAGAAGGCAUGUCCAGGAUCCCUGAGCAGACCCGAUUCCCACCAGCCCUCUGCAUCAUCUGCUCCACACCGAAGUUGGACUUUCCCACAGAAGAGAAGGCAAAGAAAAGGUUCCAUCUACCAGAGCAGCGCCUGAGGACACAGAACCCAUUUGCCUCAGAUCCUGUUUGAAGGCCAAGCAGAAAUGAAAUCAGUUCCCCUGAAGAAAGUGGCCUGGCAGAACAAAUGGGUAGAAAGUGGAUGGACUGAGGAGAACCUGGAUCCCUUAGCUGUGUUGUUCGCACUUCAGGGCCUGGGCACCUCCUGUUUCCUAUAGACUGCAAAAUUAUCACUCCUGACUAGUGCAGUUACUGGGAUCCGCCAUUUGUCAAAUACCUGGAUUCGACUUUAACAGGAGAUGCACCAAAGUGAAGCAGUGAAGUUCUUUGUGAACAGACUGUGUCGGGGACCACGGCGUGAAGCACCAUGGUAUGAACCCUGCACAUAGACACUGCUCAAGGACCAUUGGCCAUCUUGCAUCAGUGUGACAUGUCCUUUGAAAAGGAAGCUAGGCUGCCCCCCGCGUCUGGAUUGUUCCCACCUACGGUUGACGACGAAUUAAAGCAGUAACAGCCAGAGCGGAAGCGGGGCUCAUGCGCGGGCUCGUGCGCGGCGGCAGGUGCGCGCCCAGCAGAUGCAGCACCCUCGCGAGUGAGAAGUUAGUAAACUCACGAGUGCAGAACCACCGCCAGAGGGGGAUCGCCUUCGGACUGCAAGAAGGAAGAAUGAGGGGAGCGUCCAGCAGCCAGAAAUCACUGGUUACUUCACCACUGUUCUUAUCUCCGCAAUUUCAUGGAUUGUUUCAGAGAAGAAAAGGAGACACCUCCCCACCAGAAAUAGUUUGGGGAUCGCCUGCCCAUCUGGGGAAGUCCUCAAAAGAAAACACACAAAGUACUUUGGAAAAGCCAUUGAGAUACCCAUUUUGAAACCCAAUCUCAAGCAACCGCAGUUAAGGUGGAAUACGCAUUUAAAAAGCCAUGCAAAUAUACAUUUGAAAGAGGAGUUAGAGGAGUCUGGGUUUUAUUCAGAACAGCAAAAAGAAGCAGGACUGUGGAAGGAAGAAAAUGUAAGGAAUUUUCUUGUGUGUUUCAACUUUUAGGACAAGCACAGUGCUGAUGAUAGAACUCUGUGUCAGGGUAUUCUCUGAAAUUUGUUCUUGUUUUACACAUACAUACACAUGCAAUGUUAAAUGUGUUUCUUUGGCUUUCCAUUUAAGAAAGCAUGAAAGGGGGCCUCCUGGGUGUCUCAGUUGUUACAUGUCUGACUUUGUCAUGAUCUCAGGGGUUCAUGAGUUGGAGCCCCCACACUGGGCUCUGUGGUGACAGUAGGGGUCUGCUUGGGAUUCUUUCUUUCUGCCCCUCCCCUACUUGUGUACUCUCUCAAAAUAAAUAAAUAAACUUAAAAAAAAACCA
ensembl:lncRNA